CUUUGCAGCAGUCCAUAAGGGGCUGCCAUAGCAAAUUACCUCAUUCCAGUACAAUCUGCUAUGUUAAAACCAUAUGUCGGGUUUUGUUGGCUAGAAAAAAGUUGAGUGGCUCGGGAAUCUUUGCUUCUCCAAGCUAGCUGGGAUAGUUUCUGGAUCAUAUGAAGAUCAAUACCAGGGAAGAGUACGUGACUUAACAGGAAGAGUGCUGGACUGAUGAAAUGAGUGUUGGUGCUAAUUGGGCCGCCAAGUGGAGCCAAGAAGGCCAUCUCCCAAGUCCCAACACAGUAGGACACAGAGGAAUUCUCCCUCAGCAGACUUCAAUCCUCAGAAACUCUGGCUUUGUAACAGUCUUUUGUCACAUCAGCAGAGAAAACCAUAAUAAUCAAUUUUGUGGAAAUCAAGUGCAUUUAUAUCCAGAGUUCUUUGAUGCAGCCUGACAGCCACCACUUCAAACAAGGCAACUGUUUUUGCAUUAGAAAAAGGACUUCAGUCAAGUACUACAAGCAAGAACAAUAAUCUUCUCAUUCAGAAUGGAAGAUAUCACCUCCUCAUAUCUUGCGCCAGAAUGGAGUAUAACAAGAUUGGAAUGGUUUCUUCAACAAAGCCUAUGCUUCUGUGAAGCUGAACUCUAAGUAUAUCUCAGUGAUUCUCAUAGGAAUUCAGGAAAAGUUACAAAACCCAAGAUUAAAAAGGAAAAUUGUUGGUAGCUUGACAUUUAAACCCCAUCACAUCAGUAGUUAUUACACGAAUUUUCUAAUCCCAUCUUCAAAUGAUUAAUUCUGUUAGUGCAAUAAAACAAUAAACAUACUCAGUACAUACUUAUGGGACAGCUGUCUGACAGAGUAGCCCUAUCUUGGAACUCUACCUAGUUACCUGCAGUUCAAUUUUAUUUUAUUGCCCAAUAAAACAAGAAGGAUCUAUAUUCUGAUGGCUUUGCUGGGUGAGGGUGUACCCCUGUCCAGUGACCCUGUUACAUAAUAAUGAUGAUCUGGAGUGAUGGUUCUGGCAUAGGAGUUUAUUGCACCCCCCAAAAGCAACUUACUCCUGGCGAGAUAGAGUCACUUUCGGGAUGCCGUCGG